ACGCCCGCCCCAUCCCAGGAGGCUAUGAGAGGCGCGAGUCACGGCCACUCGCUUCCCCCAGCCUUCGGGGCGUAUGCUGAAACUCGAGUGUGAGCCCGGAAUUUAGGGCCAUCUCCCGGUCGUGUGCAGCCGACUGACCUUUUUGAUCUCCUGACUGCUGCUUCCACGAGCGCUGAUUGCCGAUCAAAGUAAGACGAAGUCCUUGGUAACUUCCACCUUUGCUCCAUUGAUCACGAUGUGACCUCUGGUCCAGUGGCGAGGACACUGCUCGUCCCUACCGAGUUGUGAUCCACACCGAAGGCUCCAAUCGUUGGUCUUCAUCGGCAGGUGCUUCGGGUGCUCCUCACCUUCAGCCGCAAGAUGGAGCACGUACGAUGAGAAGAUACACCCUGACACGCACCUUUCCUGAUGUUAAACCACGCAGUCUGCCCUUGUUCUGUUUGUAUAACUGCCUCUUGAUCCAUGGACACGUCCCAGUUAAACGGUAAAUAACCUUCAGAAGGAUGCAAAGUCCAGAACACUUCAGUGGGGGCUCAUCUGGAGCUUGCACGUGGAUCAGAAUGAUGAUCCAGGUCUCAAUCCUGAUUCCAUCUUAGAAACCCAACCAACCCUCCUGCUGUCGUAACAGAACUGCUCCGCGGGGAUUCUGAGUCUAUACAUUUUCAUAGGAAGAGACAACUACAUGUUUCUCUUGGGAUGCCUGGUAGAUUUGAACCACUGACCUUGUAGUGGGCAGCUAAGCUCGUUAACCACUGCACUCUCAGGUGUCCUUGACUCUCUUGGCUUUUGCUCAUUUUCCUAGAAACCGCCAGACUCUUAGUCUUAAGUACAUAACAAAUGAAAUGUCUCAUGUGGUUGGAUAAAGAGAUGGAAAGGCUGUUCCUAAGUGAGGGUCUUGACACAAACCCUUAUCAGAGAUUCCCUUAGUUAUCCUCAGACAGUGUUUUAAGAGAAUUAUCCUCGGUCACCAAGAAGAUCCGGCAGCUUGCGAAUAGUGCAAGUCAGGUGCGUGGCACCCUUGUGAGGAUGAGACCAUGCCAGUGAGGUGUGUGGAACCCAACGAGGGCAUUGGUCAUUUCUGCGUCCUACUGGGAUUAAAAUGUGCCAUCCCAGCAGAGGAAAGGAGGACCACAUUGCCACCAAAAAGAAAAGACUGAAGUGGAACCUGCCCUUGGGACCUGGGAGGUCCCUGCACCCACUUCCUGCACCCAGGAGAACCAGAGAUGAAGGAAGGACUUCCGGGUCCACAGAACCUCGUGGUUGCAGAGGAACUCAAAAGGGCUCUGCUCUAGUGAUCUGUGAGUGCCUGGUGGAGUGGGGUGCCUCUGGACACUUACUGGCAGAGUUAAAGAACAUCGUAACAGUUGCUUGAGCAGGGCAGAGCCCAGACCCAGGGGCCAAGGACCCAGAGGCCAAGAAGGAGAGGUCUACCUGUGGGCAUUGCUGAGAAGAGGUUGGCCUGAUUGAAGAACUGUGUCCUGAGUCAUGUCUGGUCCUAAAUUAUAAUCUGUACUUCCCCAAACUGUGUAAGUGUGCUUGUGGGGAGGGGAGAUAAUCACAGCAUGACCAC